AAAGUGAAAUAUUAAAAUUUGAAGCUAUAGGGUCAAACAACCCUCUAGAAAAAGAAUCGACUGAAUCGAUAGAUUCAUAUUUGAUAUUCACCCUAUAGAUUUGAAUCGUAAGGGGGGAAAAUCGGAUCAAAUCGUAAGAUUCCGACAACAGUGAUACAAAGAAUUCUUACUAGUUUAGUGUGAUUUCUCUAAUCUAAUGCAUAUUUACAUUAACCUUCCUUAACAGAACAUAUAUUUGGAAGUUAGUUUAAAGUUUGAACACUAGAAAACAUCUAAGAAAAAU
rnacentral:misc_RNA from 1 species